rnacentral:rRNA from 1 species
GUGAGGAAUAUUGGUCAAUGGACGGAAGUCUGAACCAGCCAAGUAGCGUGCAGGAUGACGGCCCUAUGGGUUGUAAACUGCUUUUAUGCGGGGGUAAAGUGAGUGACGUGUCAUUCAUUGCAAGUACCGCAAGAAUAAGGACCGGCUAAUUCCGUGCCAGCAGCCGCGGUAAUACGGAAGGUCCUGGUGUUAUCCGGAUUUAUUGGGUUUAAAGGGAGCGUAGGCCGUCAGGCAAGCGUGUUGUGAAAUGUCGUGGCUCAACCAUGGACUUGCAGCGCGAACUGCCCGACUUGAAUGCGCAGAAAGCAGGCGGAAUUUGUGGUGUAGCGGUGAAAUGCUUAGAUAUCACGAAGAACCCCGAUUGCGAAGGCAGCCUGCUGUAGCGCUACUGACGCUGAAGCUCGAAAGUGCGGGUAUCGAACAGGAUUAGAAACCCCGGUAGUCC